CGUUGUUGCCCGACGCCUAGGAGCUGGCACCGGGCAGGGCUGGGGCACCUGGACUACCCCACACGUGAGCACGGGUGGCACUGCCGCGUCCUGCCACUCCGCUUGCCCCCAUGGCACCCCCCCAAGAAAUUUUUGGGGCGGACACACGGAGGUUUGCUUCCGUCGCCUCUGUCGACGUCUCCUUGUGGGUGGACGCUGUGUUGGCCCGGUGUGCCGCAGGGGACGGUAGGGGUUCUCCUCCUCCUCCUCAGUGUCGCUGUCAGGCCAACCGAGGAGUUCCCCUACCGUCCAUUUCUGCCGUGUCCCUUUGUGGUGGUUCAUUCUGUCACGGUCGUGGGAUGAAGAGGACACAGGCGCAGAGUAGAGUAUCUAUAGUAAAAUGUGAGAAUGCAGUAAUUCCCUGGACCGUAGCUGGUGUCUCUCAGUGUGACAGUGGUCCUCCUCAUCUACCUGUUAACUGAUGCCUACAGAAAGGUACAAGGUAAGAACAGGAAGCCAAAAGAAGAGGAGAGUACCUACAUCUCAUUGGAAACAAAGGACAUGUCUCAAGAUUAUCAAGAGUAUCAAGUUAUGUCCAAGCGUCCAAUUUGACUGAGCCUGUGAUCUUCACUCCAAUCUUAAACCUGUGCUGAGAAAUAUUUGGUAUAAAUAAUUGCAAAAGGUACAUGAAUUGCACUUAAGUUCUGCUGUUUAACUUUGGAUAAACUACGUGAAUAAGCCUGAGAAACUUUUUAUAUACUUUUUGUAUGUAACUAUGCUCAGUUACAAACUUGGAACAAUUACAGUAUAUUUGCUUAUUGCAUCUUCGUACAUCUCUGUAUAUAUUUCUGUACUCAACAUCCAGAAUAUACACCUGCCAAUUCAAUGUCUGCAACUCCCGCGAAUCUCAGAUUGAAAAUGAAAAUGUAUACAUUUAUAUUCUCUACCAUCUACUUAUAUUAUUGUGUUGGAGAAUUGUUCAUUAAUUAAUCUUUAAAUGUUUUCCUGCAUCUAUUUUCUAUAGUGUACAUGUGGAUUUGUUUCAAUCAUUUUUCUGUAUAUUCUGUAACUACUAUACAUAUUAUAUUUUUUCUAAUGAUUUCAGCUGUGGGAGAAUCCCCUCCAAAACUGUGCGACAAUUUUCUAUGCAAUUGUCUU
ensembl:lncRNA